GUAGUGUGCCUCCAAUUUGAAGUUGCUUCAGAAGCAAUCUAUAUACAUUAAGCCAAAUAUUGAACUGGCCGACCAUGUGGAGGCUAAAGAUCUCAGAGGGAGGAGGCCAAAGAAUUGUGUGGUUAAUGUAUAGAGCUCACCGCCAAAGGCGGGGCCCGUGAUGGUCAACAACGAUGAGGCCCGGAACGCUUCGUCAGCUCAGCGAAGACCUCGAAGAAGGAGGCCACUGGCAGGACGCGAAGAGAUGGAUGCUAACGACUUGGAGAAGUUGCGAGCAUGGGCCGAAGGCCCGAGGCUUCGGCGAGCAAUCGAAGACCCACACAACCGACGGACGAAGCCAGGUGAUGGGCCCGCAUUGGACCAGGGUCAGUUGUCAAGCUGUAACCCACUGCAGAGAUGUAAUAUUACCUGUCUACCCACAGAAUAUUUCGGAAAUCUGGCAGUUGAGGGGUGUGUCGAUGUAAUUGGCCCGGUGGGUAAGUGACCCGCCGCCUAUAAAUACCCGUGUAACGGUCAUUGAUGGGACAUUGAAUACACAGAGAGAGAGAAACCGGACACUUGUCUGAAGACAUUGUU